rnacentral:rRNA from 1 species
AGUGAACGCUGGCGGUAGGCCUAACACAUGCAAGUCGAACGGCAGCACAGUAAGCUUUCGCCUUUACGGGUGGCGAGUGGCGGGUGGGUGAGGAAUAGAUCGCAAUCCUCUAAUUCUUGGGGGACAUCGUAAGGCCACAUCUGCUAACACAUCAUAUGUUCUACCGCAUAAAUCAGAGGUUCAUGACGGUUUUCGUGUCUCAAUUAGACGAUGUCGGAUUAGCUAGUUGGCGGGGUAAAGUCACACCAAGGCGACGAUCCGUAGCUGAUCUGAGAGGAUGAUCAGCCACACUGGAACUGAGACACGGUCCAGACUCCUACGGGAGGCAGCAGUGGGGAAUAUUGGACAAUGGGCGCAAGCCUGAUCCAGCCAUACCGCGUGAGUGAAGAAGGCCUUCGGAUUGUAAAGCCCUUUUGUUGGGAAAGAAAAGCAGCGGGUGAAUACCCCGCUGUUCUGACGGUACCCAAAGAAUAAGCACCGGCUAACUUCGUG